GCUGUUUUUAGUCUUGAGUAAAACACGAAGUAAAAGGUUGCCGUGCGCGCUUUUCUGUCAUUAAUACUGCGCUAUAGGUCAAUGCUAGAGAAUCGGCGCGAAAGAUAUCCCAUUACAGACUAUCUGCGCAUGCGCAAGGCCAGGCGGUUGAAAAUGCGCGGACUGAAAGACUGUGCAGGCCGGUCACAGAAGAUAAUUUCCAAGCCACCGUAUUGAUUAUGGUCGACUUCUUUGCAAGAUGGCAAUUGUUGCGGCGAUAAUUUAACUGACGAGGAUGAAGAGAAUGAGUAAAUGCAUCAGAUGCUAUUAAAAGACAGGCUGUCUGAACAGCAUAUAAAAGCAAACAAAGUGGAUGAGCUAAGGCAAAAAAAAUUGGAAGAGAAGAAUGGGGUGCCAUUAAAAGAUACUACAGAUCUGAAAAGUAGGAGGAUGUUCUAAAACAAGCAAAAGGACUGGAUGAGCUGAAACAAAAAAUAUGGAAAAAAAGUAAGGAGGAGGCAAAAGGCAAAGAUUUGUGCAGGCAAAGUGUUCACUUGACAGACGAUUCCAG